CGCACCUGCCCCGUUCGCGGGGCCGGGGCAGCCGUUCGAGCAGCGUCGUGUCGCGGUCCGGGACUGUCCUCAGUCCCGGGUCGUCUCGGCGCGGUUCCGAGCGGUCGCUCCCUCGCGAGGUGCCGCGGGUCAGCGGCUGACGCCAGCCACCUUCCCGACCCGUCUUGAAACACGGACCAAGGAGUCUAACAUGUGCGCGAGCCGCGGGGCAGUACGAAACCCGUAAGGCGAAAUGAAGGUGAACGCCGGCGCGGUCCGGCGGAGGUUGGAUCCCGUCCCGUCGGGGCGGGCGCACUACCGGCCGAUCUUCUCCGCCCUGUCGGCGAGGUCGAGCGAGAGCGUGCAAGUCGGGACCCGAAAGAUGGUGAACUAUGCCUGAGGAGGUUGAAGCCAGAGGAAACUCUGGUGGAGGACCGUAGCGAUUCUGACGUGCAAAUCGAUCGUCAAAUUUGGGUAUAGGGGCGAAAGACUAAUCGAACCGUCUAGUAGCUGGUUCCCUUCGAAGUUUCCCUCAGGAUAGCUGGCGCUCUGUCGCAGUUUUAUCUGGUAAAGCGAAUGAUUAGAGGUCUUGGGGGGCGAAACGCCCUCAACCUAUUCUCAAACUUUAAAUUGGUAAGAAGCCCGACUCGCUCGUUUGGAGCCGGGCAUGGAAUGCGAGUGCCAAGUGGGCCACUCUUGGUAAGCAGGACUGGCGAUGCGGGAUGAACCGAACGCCGGGU
rnacentral:ncRNA from 1 species